UAGUUUCACCGAGACAAGUAGUGGCGGCAAACUCCAUUAUUAUCGUUGUCACUUUCAUCCAAAUUCCAAAACCCAGACAAGGCUUAAAAGGUAUUAGGGUUUUCUUUCUCCAUUAUUAUCGUUGCCACUGCCAGACUUAUUCCUUCAUUCCUCUCACACUCUCUUCUCCUCCUCCUCCACCACCCGCGUUUUGGAAAACCAGAAGAGAGCACCCUCGUUUCUCCUCCACCCACGUCGCUGGCCAAGAAACACGAAGGCAGAGUGCAGGCCAUUCACGGCGUCUCCUUUCUCCUCCACCGUGACAUCCACCACGUCGCUGGCAGGGGCAGCAGCGCCACCAUCGGACUGCGAUUGACGAACGAUUUCGACAGCCACGACCACCACGAACACAGUAUAUUUGAUGUAGAACUAUAAUGCCACCUCCUUUUUAACUGUUCUGAACUCUAAUUUGUUUGAGGCAUCUCUACCGGGGUUUGAUGAUGGGGAGAUUUCAGAAGAUGCUCCUAUUGAUUUGGAGGGUUUAGAUGCUUCUGCAGCACAUGUUGCCAAACAAAUUAUACAACCUCUCAUCCAUAAUUAAUGCUUCUAUUUUUUUUUUAUGUAACUGUUUGCACUUUGGUAAUGCUCCAUGCCUAAAGUACUCUAAUUCAGACUUGUUAUUGAUGUUGCAACAGUGUCUUGAUGACUUGCAGAGAGCAAAAUGUCAUUUAUAUAUAUUGUAGGGUUGUUUGUU